rnacentral:tRNA from 1 species
GGCUGAUUAGCUCAAUUGAUAGAGAGCGCUGCGCUAACAACGUGAAUGUCGUGGGUUCGCUCCCCAUACUGGUCA